rnacentral:rRNA from 1 species
UGGGGAAUAUUGCACAAUGGGCGCAAGCCUGAUGCAGCCAUGCCGCGUGUAUGAAGAAGGCCUUCGGGUUGUAAAGUACUUUCAGCGGGGAGGAAGGGAGUAAAGUUAAUACCUUUACUCAUUGACGUUACCCGCAGAAGAAGCACCGGCUAACUCCGUGCCAGCAGCCGCGGUAAUACGGAGGGUGCAAGCGUUAAUCGGAAUUACUGGGCGUAAAGCGCACGCAGGCGGUUUGUUAAGUCAGAUGUGAAAUCCCCGGGCUCAACCUGGAAACUGCAUCUGAUACUGGCAAGCUUGAGUCUCGUAGAGGGGGGUAGAAUUCCAGGUGUAGCGGUGAAAUGCGUAGAGAUCUGGAGGAAUACCGGUGGCGAAGGCGGCCCCCUGGACGAAGACUGACGCUCAGGUGCGAAAGCGUGGGGAGCAAACAGG